rnacentral:snRNA from 1 species
UAAAUGGUCUAUUCGCUU